rnacentral:misc_RNA from 1 species
UCCGAGUUAACCCCGGCAGUCUCCCGCGAGUCCCCAACACCACUUGCUGGCAACACGGGAUAAGGGUUGCGCUCGUUGCGGGACUUAACCCAACAUCUCACGACACGAGCUGACGACAGCCAUGCACCACCUGUCACCCAGUCCGAAGAGGGCCCCAUCUCUGAGGCUUUCCGGGUGAUGUCAAACCCAGGUAAGGUGGGGAUGACGUGUAGGAGCUCGAC